rnacentral:antisense_RNA from 1 species
CUUGAGCGAGCCCAGCCGUAGCGGCGCCGACCGAUCCCGGCCGUAGGUCGCGAGCAGUGCUUGGGCCUC